rnacentral:miRNA from 1 species
AAGAGUAGCGUUGAUACACCGU